rnacentral:lncRNA from 1 species
UGAGAGCAAGGCUGCUGCACCCGUUGACACUUCUUUUGGCUUUGAAUGAGUUAAUAGUCGAUUAGGUGAAGGCUAGGGCUGAUGGGACGUCUUAGCAGCUGAGUGUUGGAGUUGUUUUUUUUUCUUUUAUUUGUUUGAAGAAGAGAAGCACUGACUGCAUGUUGCUGUUAUGUUGCUGCUUCCAUAUUUUAUUUUCGUGUUUUGAUUUUAUUUGGGAUGAAGGUGAUGAUUUAAAUUGUUUUUGAUUGAGUCACGCUCACAUCUAGUGGAGCAGCAUUGAUGUUCAAGAUAAAGUGAAGAUUUCGGUUGCUGCCAAGUCAAGGCAUUGAUGAGCAAAGUUUGCAUUUUUAUUUCAUUU